AAAUCAUUUAUCCUACCUACAACUUCAUCUCAUCAAAGAAAACUCUCUCAUGUCUCUCUCUAUCUCACUAAUCUUGCACCUCAUCAUUCACUCAUCACUCUCAAUCGGAACUCGCAGUCGGAUUUCAAUUCAAAACUCUCAAUAUAUCAGACUUUAAUGCAGUCAGAGAGAAAGGGCUUCAAUUGGGGUUUGAGAAAAAGAGGCUAACUUGUUCAAUUAAUCUAGGGAUCCAAGAAUAGGGCUUCGAUUUAAGGUUGAUGCAUCAUUCUCUCUAUCUAUUUUGUAUGGAUCUCCCUCUUCUAUAUUCAAAUGUUUUUUUCUAUCGAUUUGCCUAUAAUAUUUGGGCUUAAUCGAGUUGCCUAUAAUAUGUGGGCUCAAUCGAUUUGAAUUGAAACUGGGUCGAGACUUCAGUUCUUCGAACUAGGGUUUUAGUUUUAUUGAUUUUGUUUUUGUUUAUGUUCUUCAACUGAUUUUGUAUAUCUAAUUUGUCUCUCUCUCUAUUUUAGGUGUUCUUGAAAUUAAGGUUCAAUCAAUUUAAGGUAUAUUGUAAUUAAAAUUAAGGGAUGAUUUUGUGUAUGAUUUUAUACUUGUUUUGUAUAUUUUCUGUGGGUGCUGAUUCAUAUAGUUUUAUAUUUUAAUCUCUUUUAUAUUCAAUUUAGUUUUUAGUUUUCAGUUUUGGCUUGAGAUUGCUUGCUUUGUUUACUACUCUGUUCUUUUUAAAUGUUAAUUUUGGUUUCUUACUCUAUUUUAUUUUUAAUGAUUCAGUAUUAAUAAUAUUAUAUUUUCUUUUGUAUUGUGUGUCGUGUACACUGAAUAGAAUGUAUAUGUACAGGCCUCUGUGUUUCUUAAUUUAGCUUCGUAUUGCUAUGCUUGGGUACGUUCAUAUGGUUUGUUUUUAGAGGAAUGGCUUGAAUGCUUUCGAGUUCUGAAGUAUGAUAUUGAAGUAGAGAAUCUUCCUAAACCUGCACAAGGGAAAGAGAAGAUAAUUACAGAAUGAAUGGGCAUGAAUAUGAUUACUAUCUAGUAUAAUGAAAAUGGAUAACUUCUGUUAUGUCAUAGUUGGUCUUUUGAUGAGUAUAAGGUUAAGCUUAAUCCUGCGGGACCUAAAUAAAGAAAUGCAGUGGCAUGCCAGGAGAUCUAAACUUGGAUUUUUCCUCACAAUGUUGGCCUCGGAGUUACCAGGUUUGCAGUGAUCCAAGAUGGGGCGGUUGUUAUGAAAUCUAUACGAAGAUCAUAAGUUUGUUCAAGAAAUGACUGAAAUUAUACCUGGUUUAUAGGGCGACAUGCCAACCAACUCUCGCAAGGGCGUACCUUUUGUCGCUGACCAGCCGGUGCAGGUGCUGCUAAUGUUGACCCUCUAUAUUCACUAUAUUCUUCGGAUUUGGCAGAGCAUAAUCCAGAUUUGAAGAUUAAUCUUGAUGAGUCCGACAAGUAUACAGAAGGGGAAACAAGCAGAAGCAUAGUCAUUCGAGUCAUCAGUAGUAAUACUUGUCGCAAUUUAACUCUCUUUUGGUUUUUAAUUGUACCUGGCCAGUAAUUGGUUGAUAGGGUUGGAUCUUUGUUUUGGUUAUUGGAUUGUGUUUGUUGCUGAAUGUUUGGUAAAGUUUGAAAUAGGGAAGUGCUAUUCUCAAAUGUUAUAUUGCUUUUUUUUUGCCCAUAAAGUGUUGGCAAAGAGUGUAGCUAUUGAUGUAAAUGAUUCAUAUUUCUUUGUUGGUAAAUAUCUAAAAUUUGUUACUAUAACUAAUAGAUUGUUUCCAUUGAAA